UGUGUCAUUACCAUGGAUGAACAUGUGCUGUAGUCCCAAAUUUACUUACUGUGCAUUUAGUUGGCAUCAUCUUGGUAAUUCCUGCUUCUCCUCUAUCUAGGAACUUGCAUCAAAGGGCAAGUUUGGCUCUUCACUUCAUUUAUCAAAGAAGACAGCUCCCCAACUCCAUACUUAUAACCUGUCUCUCCCUGCAUGGGGAAGCCUUAAAAACCAGGAGUCUUGACCUGGAGCAAAGAAGAAGCAGAUGCAACCAAGAAGAGUACGGGUUGAUGGAACACUAUUUCUAAAAAUACAUUCUGCACAGAAGCUGAACAUGGCCUCAAAGAGUGAGCCUAGUACCAGGUCUGUGUAUGUCAGAAAAGCUGAAGACUUGUGAACCCCCUUGCCUGCAGGUGAGGAUGGGCUUUCUGUGCUCUGCUUGUCUCAGAGCAUUUGACUGAGCAUCAAUUAAGAUACCAU
rnacentral:lncRNA from 1 species